GAGGGUGCAUUAAGUGCUUCAGGGAAUGGAGCCUUUGGAAUGUGGGUUGUGGCAGAUGGUGGACUAGCUGAAGAAGGUUUUGGGUUUUCAUGUGCUACAUUCCUCUCCUCUUCUUCACCUUCUUUAUUGUUACCCUCCCCAACCUUAUUAUCUAUUAUACGGCCACUCCUCAGGGUAGUCAAAGCAUUGGCUUGCUCAUGAUUUAGUUGAGUUUCUUG
rnacentral:lncRNA from 1 species